AUUGAACGCUGGCGGCAGGCCUAACACAUGCAAGUCGAGCGGAUGACGCGAGCUUGCUCCUUGAUUCAUCGGCGGACGGGUGAGUAAUGCCUAGGAAUCUGCCUGGUCGUGGGGGACCACGUUUCGAUAGGAACUCUAAUACCGCAUACGUCCUACGGGCGCAAUCAGGGGACCUUCCGUCCUUGCGCUUUCAUAUUAGCCUAGGUCGGUGUCGCUUGUUGGUGAGGUAAUGGCUCACCAAGGCGACGAGCCGUAACUGGUCUGAGAGGAGGAUCAGUCAUAAUGGAACAGAGACACGGGCCAGACUCCGACGGAAGGCAGGAGUGAGGAAUAUUGGAAAAUGGGAGAAAGGAUGAUCGAGCAAUGGCGCGAGGGAAGAAGGUCUUAGGAUGGUAAAACACUGAAAGUUGGGAGGAAGGGAUGUAGAUUAAUACGCGGCAAUUUUGACGGUACCGACAGAAUAAGCACCGGCUAACUCUGUG
rnacentral:rRNA from 1 species